GACGCUCCCUAACUGGGCGGCACGCGGACUUAUGGGAAAUAGAGUCCCGCUGCCUCGAAUGGGCCCCGGCCGGCGACUUCCGGCGUCCUCGUGCGCAUGUGCACUCGGGCUGUGUGCGUGUUCGCGCAGGCGCCCUGCGGCCGCGCUGCUGUCGCUUCCUCUCUGAGCCCAGGUCACGGAUGCCCCUGGUGCCCA